rnacentral:tRNA from 1 species
GGGGGUAUAGCUCAAGUGGUAGAGCACAUGCUUAGCAUGCAGGAGGCCCUGGGUUCGAUCCCCAGUACUCCCA